UAUGAGUGUGUGCGUGUCGCAGGAGGCUGGGGGAGGGUUUGCGAGUUUUUUCUUCGGUGCGCUGUCAGUGCGAGCAGCAGGAAAUGGCGUCGUCGUGAAAUUAGGGAGCUCGCAGCGGAAAAACCUGUGCCGAAAAGCGCUGCCGCCCGUGAACGUGAUGUGGCCAACGAUUGUGUGAAUGCGUGCGCGCGUGUGUGUGUGCGAGAGCGGUGCGUGCGUGACAAAAAGGGCGGUGAACAUUUUUUCCCAAGUUUUGCAGCGCGGCGAGCCUAAUCGCAUGGACGGAGCCGAAGCUGUGUGCGUGUUUGCGAGUAUGAGGAGGGUCCUUACUGAAGAGGAGGGGAGGGCUGACGACGGUUCUUGUGUCGUACCGCCACAAGCUGAAAGAAAAAGAAGAAAAAAGUGAAAAACAGCUCCUCAAGCGGCCUGCAGGAACCAAAAGUAAACCUUCUCUCUUCACCAACCCCCCUCCCCCCUCUCGCGGUUGCGAUACCUCUCGGAGUGAUGGAUGUUCCUGAAGUCAAGGAACUGACCACAAUCCGUCGUCACUGCGAUCACCACCAACGCGCGAACAAGAAGAUUUGUUGCGUAUGAUCCUUUCUACCUACCUUCUACUCUAAUCUAACGAAUAUGACGGAUGGAUUGGAUGUCUGACUGUGCGCGGGUUGCUGAGAAUGGAUGGCAUGGGAAUGGGUUUGGAUGAUGCACCGCUUGCUCCUCCUCCCGUAUGUUGUGUAGCGGUGUUACUGUUAGGCAGUAGUAGUAGUAGUCGUCGUCGUAGCAAUCGUAGUAGACCGGCGGUAUAGACUAAAGACUACUUUGCGUGUUUGUGUGCGUGUGUAUGUGUGUCUCUUUGAAUGUGUGCGCGUGUACGUAUGGAGGACUACGAUGACGAUGACGAUUUUGAGAAUAAUCUAGAACCCUAGGGGGAAUUAAUAAAUCGCGAAUGCGUUUCUCUUACGCUCUUCGAUUCUUGUGCUUGUUUAAAAACACAACAGAAAAUACUAAAAAAUAAGCAAAAAAAAACAACAUAACAAUAACAUUAUGAACGUGUGUGUGUGUGUGUGUGUUUGCGUGUUGUGUGUGUGUGUGUGUAUUGAUUGUGUGACGAAAAAGAGAUAGAAAGCAAACAGAAAGAGGAAUAGUAAAGGAAUAAAAUCACCCGUCGUGGUUGCUUUGGUUUCCCACGUUCAAUCCCCGCAUCAGCAGCAGAGACAGAAGUAUAGUAGAGACACAUCAGCAUAGCAGAUCAGCAUCAGCACACCAUAGAACUAGAAUGCAUGAGUUUCGAGACGAUUGAACGAGAGAGACAGAGAGAGAGAGAAAGAGCGUGCGUUUGAUCGAGAGGCUGAUGUGAGGAGUUCGCGUAAUCUAAAUAUCUAAGGUUAAACCGCAACGGGACGAAAAGCGUAUGCGUAAUGUAUGCUGUUGAGCAAGAUCGAGACAACAACAAUAGCACAUGGAAUGAAAAUGGAGUAAAAAAAGCAUUAAAAUUAUUAAAACUAAAAGAUUGUA